rnacentral:rRNA from 1 species
UACAGAGGUCUCAAGCGUUGUUCGGAUUCAUUGGGCGUAAAGGGUGCGUAGGUGGCGUCGUAAGUCGGGUGUGAAAUUUCGGAGCUUAACUCCGAAACUGCAUUCGAUACUGCCGUGCUUGAGGACUGGAGAGGAGACUGGAAUUUACGGUGUAGCGGUGAAAUGCGUAGAUAUCGUAAGGAAGACCAGUGGCGAAGGCGGGUCUCUGGACAGUUCCUGACGCUGAGACGCGAAAGCGUGGGGAGCAAACAGG